rnacentral:rRNA from 1 species
CCUACGGGGUGCUGCAGUGAGGAAUAUUGGUCAAUGGACGAGAGUCUGAACCAGCCAAGUAGCGUGAAGGAUGACUGCCCUAUGGGUUGUAAACUUCUUUUAUAUGGGAAUAAAAUGUUCCACGUGUGGGAUUUUGUAUGUACCAUAUGAAUAAGGAUCGGCUAACUCCGUGCCAGCAGCCGCGGUAAUACGGAGGAUCCGAGCGUUAUCCGGAUUUUGUGGGUUUAAAGGGAGCGUAGGUGGAUUGUUAAGUCAGUUGUGAAAGUUUGCGGCUCAACCGUAAAAUUGCAGUUGAAACUGGCAGUCUUGAGUACAGUAGAGGUGGGCGGAAUUCGUGGUGUAGCGGUGAAAUGCUUAGAUAUCACGAAGAACUCCGAUUGCGAAGGCAGUUCACUGGACUGCAACUGACACUGAGGCUCGAAAGUGUGGGUAUCAAACAGGAUUAGAUACCCUUGUAGUC